rnacentral:lncRNA from 1 species
UUCUUUCCAACUCUAACUUAGUUUCCUCAAGCUUCCUCUAAUUAGCCUCAGCACUCCAACAUUUUCGCUAAGGCUUAUACUAACCAUUGUAGCCUCAGCCAGCAAAACAUGCAAGGAUGAGGUACGCUUUGACAACGGAGGCUUCUUCGCACCACUUGAGGACUUAGCAAUACACAUAUGCCUCUUUGUAGCCUCUGGUAAAGAAGCCUUACACUUCUCAACUACUUCAUUGGGAUUAUAGGGAUACUUUGACGUGCUCAAAUGUCCCACCACAGGAAUAGCUCACCAUCCUCUCUAACUAAGGAUUCCUCAACAGGGGGUAAAAAAUAAGUAAUACAGGGAGGAGCAGAAAGAGGAGAGCUACCGUGAGCAACAAUCGGAGAACUUGCAUGAGCCAUAGAUGGUGAGCUUGCUGAGGGUGAAGCAAUAGUAGGGGCUAUCAUAGUAGAAGGCCUAGCAUGAUCUACCCUCAUUUUAUGAUGAUGCUAUAGUCUUCCACUAUCUGCCUCAUUUUUGUUGCUAAUAACCACAUUUACAGGCCCCGCGUCAGUUCUACGCUUCUUGUUCAUGUCCCUCAAAAAAGCAUGUUGGUCUAUAAGUUCAUUAAUUUUUUGGGUAAGACCGGUAGUUUCCUCUGAGUCGCUUCCAGAAUCGCGAGUUGUGCUUGCACCACCAAUAAUUCCAGGGUCAGCCGGAGCAGUUAUCAAAUUCAUAUAUGCACCGCUUUCUUCAUGCAACGAGACCGUUGAGAUCUAAGGGUGGAUUCUCGUCCUGCAGAAAUUCUAAAAGAAGUUCAUGGGUUCCUCUUUAUAUCCUGUUAAUAUCAAACCUAGGUCAUCUUUGGCCCCGUGGGGAUAUAUCUGUCUUUCAGGUCGUGCACCAACUGCCUUAGCCACUUCCCCGUUGUCACCCUGCUUCCACCUAUUGGGGCUAAAGCCGUCUAAAUAAUAUCAAAACACAUUUCUCACGGUUAUAACAUCCUCUACAACUAAGGGACUGCUAGUGCGAAACCUUUCGAGUUGGGUUGAACCAUUCUCUGUUGUAAUGCUUCACUUAAAUUAACACAUGUCCUUGCUUGGUGCGAACCACUCUAUUGGAAAAGCAAACAUGUCAGCGAGCCUACAUCUCACCCUAAUGUAUUUCCCCUGAUUUAGUCAAAAAUUAGUACACCAAUUGGCGAUUAUAGUCUCGACCUAUUCGUGAUGAGGGAAAUAGUAGAAGCCCAAUAAAUUCCCUCGGUUCUAGGCCUUUAAUAGAUAUAAACGUUGGAAAACUACAAGCUGUGGCACUUCGUUGUGUCGGCAGUAGUUGAUGAAGUAAGUCGAUCGACCAAGAAAACCCGCAAAGUUGACUGGGAGCGAUCUUAUACUCUUGAAGAAGAUGAAAGAAGAAUGAAUUUAGGGGAAAAUAGAAUCCAACUUCCAAAGCAAGGAGGGGGAGCUGGAAGCUGCCAUCACUAGUGUCGCUCAGCCUAUGUGGCCCAUUAGGAAUAGAGAAGUCAUAAGUGAAGUUGGGGAUUUUAAUCCCUCUCACGGCUAAAGCUCGAGUCAAUGAGAAAUGAAAGAAAAACACUCAACACUAAUUUAGGGUUUAUAUCAACUAUAGAAAUCCUAAACUAUUCUGAGUAAAAAACCAAACAUAUACUCGUAGGAUGACAAAAUUGGGGUUAGAGUUUUAGGGUUUUAAACUCUUACUCAUAAACAAUAUAGAUGAGCCUCCAACAAAAGCACAAAAAAUUUUCCAAAACAAUCAAUUGAAUAAUGAAUAAUAGUUUCUUUUUUACAAAAUUCAGUUA